rfam:Culex pipiens quinquefasciatus supercont3.826 genomic scaffold, whole genome shotgun sequence.
GGCUCCGUGGCCUAAUGGUUACGGCUUCUGCCUCACAAGCAGAAGGUUCAGGGAUCAAAUCCCGGUCGGUACCU